GAUAUUCGAUUGGCAACAAUUUAUCUGUUAUUUUUAAAAUCCCAUAACAUGCUUUUUUUUACACAAAAGCGGUAGCACACAACAAUUCACAAUUAAUAAAAAAAAAAAUUUAAAUCUUAUAUUUACUUAUAAAUGAAGUUCAUGCCUUGCACCUUCAGAACAAAAGCAUCCGGAAUAUUUUGAAUAUUUCAUCAUUAUACAGUGGUACCUCUACUUAAGAAAUUAAUUGGUUCUGGAAGAAAUUUUCUCACUAGAAAAGAUGAGUUUUCCAUGUAAUUGCCUUAAUUUGUUCUUACCCCACCCAAAAUUCAGACACAUAUGUUUUGCAAAGCAUAAAAAUGCAUCAAAAUAUGAAACAAAUACAUGUUACAAUUAGAUUAUCGCACAAUAAAUGAGAGUUGUGCAUAAUGUGAAAAACAAAGAAUCGAGUAAAGAAUAAAAAUGAUUGCGUCUUUGGUUUUUUUUGCCCUCUUUACUUCAUGUUCUCUCUCAGAAGUGGGUUUUGCCUGGCGUUUUGUAAAGAACUGAUCCAAGGACGUUUGCUUAUGUCUGUUUUUAACAGUCCUUCAAAAAUGUCCAAGGGGGUGCCAAGGUGCCACAAGCAAGGGGGAACGGCGGCCGCAGCCCUGGACUGGAGAUCACAAUCCGCACUUAAAAAGGCCCUCACACCAGGACAGCCACUUCCAACAACAAAAGACGGCCAAAUGUGGAAGACUAUAUCCACAUCAAAGGACGAUUCACCAUUCACACUUAAUCUGACAGAUGACGUUGAUAACAUCAGGACUGUCCCCGCAGACCACUUGUCUAUGCCUGAACACACACACACACACACACACACACACAAACACACACACACACACCCGUUUUGGGGAAUUGUAUUAAAGGUGGGUCAAGGGAAAGGCGUCUUUGUCACUGCCCCGCUACCCUCGCGGUCAGGAGAAGUUGAUGACCCAGAGCUCUGUUUAGAAUACUGUAAUUGGCUUAAUCUCUGCUGUAUUAGACUAUUUGAUAAGGAUUAAAUACUUUUCCGUGGUUCUGACUCGAAAGACGUGUGCAUGUGGUCAUUCCUGAGCCCAACAAUGAGCACCCCGGAAUUCCACCAAGGCAUUUGAUUAUUGGUCAAAUAGUGUGGUGGAAAUUCCGCCUUCAGAUCUAAUGUCCAGUUUAGAAAAUUGUUUGACUUUGAAAAUGUAAUCCACUAUUUUAUAGUAAGGGCAGGUGAGCAGGCAGAAAAAAGAAUGA